CAGCCGCCACGGGAAUACAGAGGGUGCGAGCGUUAAUCGGAUUUACUGGGCGUAAAGCGUGCGUAGGCGGCUUCUUAAGUCGGAUGUGAAAUCCCUGAGCUUAACUUAGGAAUUGCAUUCGAUACUGGGAAGCUAGAGUAUGGGAGAGGAUGGUAGAAUUCCAGGUGUAGCGGUGAAAUGCGUAGAGAUCUGGAGGAAUACCGAUGGCGAAGGCAGCCAUCUGGCCUAAUACUGACGCUGAGGUACGAAAGCAUGGGGAGCAAACAGGAUUAGAUACCCCCGUAGUCCCUGUCUCUUAUAU
rnacentral:rRNA from 1 species